rnacentral:lncRNA from 1 species
UCCAGUGUUGCUACAUCCACAUUUGGCAAGAUAUUUCCCACUAAGCUCCUAUGCAACCAUUCCUUAUCCUCAUCCGUGGAGUUGUACUGUAUUAUGCUCCUCGUCUUUGUGACCAUCUGUUGUGGUUUGGAUGUGAGUACCUCAGCAUAGGAUCUGUUAUUUCUGAACAUAAGUUGGGGUUUAUGAUGUGAUGCAGGUUUGGGUAAGGGUUUAUGAGGUGAAGUUGGCAGGGGAGGUUUAGAGAAUUGAAGUUUAGCUGGGUUCACUCUCAACUUAUAGGAAUCAAACCAAACGUUACUGGCUUGGUCACAAAGAUCAGACACAGGCAGGGGCGAUAGUAUUUCCACAAAACCAAAACGUCGGCCAAGAACUGUUUUUCGUUUGGACAAAAACAGUUUGACAACCCGGCCAAACUUCCCGAAAGUCUUUUUCAGGUCUUGAUAUUCCACCCACGAGGGGAAUCUCUCAAAGAACAGCUUAAGUUGGUCUGUACCAGCAGGGGAAUUGACAAAAGAUGUCGGGGUAAAAGUUUUUUUGAGAGGUUCAGAUGGAAGGACAAGGGAGGCUGUCUGGUUUGAAGGAAAAGUGACAGGAUAAUCUGUUGGAUUUAGGAAAGGAGGUGUUAUUUCGAGUGGUGGAGGUAGGGUCUAAAGAUGUUGGUAAGGGGUUUUGUGGAGGUGUAAGAUUGAUGGUGCGAUGAUGGGGGGCUGGUUUUUGGUGGAAGGUGCAGAGGAUGCAGAGGGUGUCAUUUUGGGAGAAUUAGAUCGUUUCUACUAAAUCAACUUUUACUCUGCACACAGAUCUCUCAAUCGGUGUUGAUGAGGUAGAUAUGGGGGUGAAGGUUGAAGGUUGAAGGUAGAUCUGUAGAGCUGUUGAAGGUUGAAGGCUGAUUUCGCAGACGUCCCUUGGCUGUUUGAGGCUUGAGAGAAGGGGAAUCAACAGAGGAUCAUCUUCUGCAGGAUCCGGUAAUGCAUAUUGAACCUGGAUCUCCGUCUGUGAUGAGAUCUCCACUCCCUUAUCACUUUCUUAAGGCUGUCGACACUAGUACCACUUAAAGAUCUCCAUCUGGAUCUCCACUUAAAGAUCUCCGACUGGAGCGAGGUAUGUCUUCAUAUCAGCAACUAGAUCUCCAUCUCGUUCUCUCUCUCUCUCUCCCACCAAUCGGUGUUGAUGAGGGAGAUCUAGGGGUGAAGGUUGAAGGUUGAAGGUAGAUCUG